rnacentral:rRNA from 1 species
UAGGGAAUCUUCCACAAUGGGCGCAAGCCUGAUGGAGCAACACCGCGUGAGUGAAGAAGGGUUUCGGCUCGUAAAGCUCUGUUGUUAAAGAAGAACACGUAUGAGAGUAACUGUUCAUACGUUGACGGUAUUUAACCAGAAAGUCACGGCUAACUACGUGCCAGCAGCCGCGGUAAUACGUAGGUGGCAAGCGUUAUCCGGAUUUAUUGGGCGUAAAGAGAGUGCAGGCG